CAUGCCCUUGGAGGCAUUGUAGGUGUGGCUGCUACAUCACCUGUGUGUCAUGGGUGACAGAGGGGAGAGAGGCUAUGUCUAUGUGUUGACAUAUGGAUAUCUGGAUGAUCAGUAGACUAACAUU
ensembl:snoRNA Gm26289 predicted gene, 26289